rnacentral:rRNA from 1 species
AGAGUUUGAUCCUGGCUCAGAACGAACGCUGGUAGCGUGGAUUAGGCAUGCAAGUCGAACGGGAUCGCCGGUGUAGCAAUACUCUGGCGUGAGAGUGGCGGAUUGGGGAGGAACACGUGAACAACCUGCCCUUGAGUUCGGGAAAACCGUUGGAAACGACGGCUAAUAUCGGAUGUGGCGCCCGGUGACAUCACCGGAGCGCUAAAGGGGGCCCCAAAGGCUCCCGCUCUUGGAGGGGUUCGCGCAUCAUCAGCUUGUUGGCGGGGUAACGGCCCACCAAGGCGUACGAUUAGCUGGUCUGAGAGGAUGACCAGCCCCACUGGGACUGAGAUACUGCCCAGACUCCUACGGGAGGCUGCAGUCGAGGAUCAUUUGCAAUGGGCGAAAGCCUGACAAUGCGACGCUGCGUGGAGGAUGAAGGCCCUCGGGUUGUAAACUCCUGUCAUAAGGGAACAGGCGAAGGUACCCAAUACGUACCCUAGUUGAGUGUACUUUAAGAGGAAUUGGCGGCUAACUCUGUGCCAGCAGCCGCGGUAAUACAGAGGCCAAGAGCGUUGUUCGGAUUUACUGGGCGUAAAGGGCGCGUAGGCGGUCUUGCGUGUCAAGUGUGAAAUCUCCGGGCUCAACCCGGAAAGUGCGCUUGAAACUACAGGACUCGAGUCCGGGAGAGGGAAUCGGAAUGCAGGGUGUAGCGGUGAAAUGCGUUGAUAUCCUGCAGAACACCGGAGGCGAAGGCGGAUUCCUUGAACGGUACUGACGCUGAGGCGCGAAAGUCGGGGGAGCAAACAGGAUUAGAUACCCUGGUAGUCCCGACCUUAAACGGUGCACACUCGGGGGUGGGGG